rnacentral:rRNA from 1 species
AACGAACGCUGGCGGCAGGCCUAACACAUGCAAGUCGAGCGCGCCUUCGGGUGAGCGGCGGACGGGUGAGUAACGCGUGGGAAUAUGCCCUUCUCUACGGAAUAGUCCUGGGAAACUGGGGGUAAUACCGUAUACGCCCUUUGGGGGAAAGAUUUAUCGGGGAAGGAUUAGCCCGCGUUGGAUUAGGUAGUUGGUGGGGUAAUGGCCUACCAAGCCGACGAUCCAUAGCUGGUUUGAGAGGAUGAUCAGCCACACUGGGACUGAGACACGGCCCAGACUCCCACGGGAGGAGGCGGUGGGGAAUCUUAGCCAGGGGGGGCAACCCAGAAAUGCCCCGGCCGGGGGGGGGAUGAGGGCUUUGGGGUUGAAAAGCCCUUUCGGCGGGGAAGAAAUGACGGUAACCAGCAAAAAAGCCCCGGGUAAAUCCCGG